GGCGGAUGUAGCCAAGUGGAUCAAGGCAGUGGAUUGUGAAUUCACCAUGCGCGGGUUCAAUUCCCGUCGUUCGCC
rnacentral:tRNA from 46 species